rnacentral:rRNA from 1 species
AUUGAACGCUGGCGGCAGGCCUAACACAUGCAAGUCGAGCGGAUGAAGGGAGCUUGCUCCUGGAUUCAGCGGCGGACGGGUGAGUAAUGCCUAGGAAUCUGCCUGGUAGUGGGGGAUAACGUCCGGAAACGGGCGCUAAUACCGCAUACGUCCUGAGGGAGAAAGUGGGGGAUCUUCGGACCUCACGCUAUCAGAUGAGCCUAGGUCGGAUUAGCUAGUUGGUGGGGUAAAGGCCUACCAAGGCGACGAUCCGUAACUGGUCUGAGAGGAUGAUCAGUCACACUGGAACUGAGACACGGUCCAGACUCCUACGGGAGGCAGCAGUGGGGAAGAUUGGACAAAGGGCGAAAGCCUGAUCCAGCCAUGCCGAGUGUGUGAAGAAGGUCUUCGGAUUGUAAAGCACUUUAAGGUGGGAGGAAGGGCAGUAAGUUAAUACCUUGCGGUUUUGACGUUACCAACAGAAUAAGCACCGGCUAACUUCGUG